rnacentral:rRNA from 1 species
GGGAUCUUGCGCAUGGGCGAAGCCUGNGCAGCGACGCCGCGUGGGGGAAGAAGGCUUUCGGGUUGUAAACCCCUUUCAGGAAGGACGAAGCUACUCGGGUGAAUAGCCCAGAGGGUGACGGUACUUCCAGAAGAAGCCCCGGCUAACUACGUGCCAGCAGCCGCGGUAAUACNGUAGGGGGCAAGCGUUGUCCGGAUUUAUUGGGCGUAAAGAGCGUGUAGGCGGUUUGGUAGGUCCGCUGUGAAAACUCGAGGCUCAACCUCGAGACGCCGGUGGAAACCAUCAGACUAGAGUCCGGAAGAGGAGAGUGGAAUUCCUGGUGUAGCGGUGAAAUGCGCAGAUAUCAGGAAGAACACCCGUGGCUAAGGCGGCUCUCUAGUACGGUACUGACGCUGAGACGCGAAAGCGUGGGGAGCGAACAGGAUUAGAUACCCUGGUAGUCCACGCCGUAAACGAUGGGUGCUAGGUGUAGGGGGUGUCGACUCCCUCUGUGCCGAAGCUAACGCAUUAAGCACCCCGCCUGGGGAGUACGGCCGCAAGGCUAAAACUCAAAGAAAUUGACGGA